rnacentral:rRNA from 1 species
UACGUAGGGGGCAAGCGUUGUCCGGAUUUACUGGGCGUAAAGAGCGUGUAGGCGGCCAAACAGGUCCGUUGUGAAAACUGGAGGCUCAACCUCCAGACGUCGACGGAAACCGUGUGGCUAGAGUCCGGAAGAGGAGAGUGGAAUUCCGUGGUGUAGCGGUGAAAUGCGCAGAUAUCAGGAAGAACACCAAUGGCGAAGGCAGCUCUCUGGGACGGUACUGACGCUG